rnacentral:lncRNA from 1 species
UCAUAAAAAUAUAUGAAAAGGGGGUAUUUAUAGGUCUUGUGGUAAACGAGGAGUUGCCAUAUGACAGCUUAUGAGUUUAUCAUGUGACAGCAAUGGUGGAAGAGGGUUGCAAUGCCCAGAAAGAGAUCUCUCGAUCUCUAUAUCGAAGCUGAAGAGCCCUCGCAUAUGCACUUGUCCUUACCUCACAUCCACACCAUAAGGUAAGGAGGGUUUACGCUUGAGAUAUGGAACUCUUUGUGAUGUUCUCACUGAUAGCCACUACAACUCUUAUGCUAUCUAUGUCUACCCACACUACACAAUGGGUUUAUACCAAAACAUCAAGGAGAAAUGAUGUUUAGCCAACAGUUUGAAUGCAUCCAUGGUGCAUUUAUUAUGGUUUUCACACCACUAGGCAAGGC